AUUGAACGCUGGCGGCAUGCCUUACACAUGCAAGUCGAACGGCAGCACGGGUGCUUGCACCUGGUGGCGAGUGGCGAACGGGUGAGUAAUAUAUCGGAACGUACCUUAUCGUGGGGGAUAGCCCGGCGAAAGCCGGAUUAAUACCGCAUGAGACCUGAGGGUGAAAGCGGGGGAUCGUAAGACCUCGCGCUAUUGGAGCGGCCGAUAUCAGAUUAGGUAGUUGGUGGGGUAAAAGCCUACCAAGCCGACGAUCUGUAGCUGGUCUGAGAGGACGACCGGCCACACUGGGACUGAGACACGGCCCAGACUCCUACGGGAGGCAGCAGUGGGGAAUAUUGGGCAAUGGAGGAAACUCUGACCCAGCGACGCCGCGUGAGGGAUGAAGGCCUUCGGGUUGUAAACCUCUUUCAGUAGGGAAGAAGCGAAAGUGACGGUACCUACAGAAGAAGCACCGGCUAACUAUGUG
rnacentral:rRNA from 1 species